UACUGCUAAGAGAUGAAAGUGUUCAAAUUAAACCCCACUGCCUGCUGGAUGAUGAUGUAUAAAUAGACAAGUGGGAAGAAACGGUGUUCGUUCACAGGCAUCAUUAUCAGCUAAGCACUUAAAAGUGCUGCUGAGGGGAAAGACCUAUUGUGCCCAUAUUAUUAAAAUGUGCAUCACUUUGUAUUUUCCCUGUUAAAAAUACUAUUCUUUCUAAUAUGUCAGUGAGAUGCACAACUCCAUUCCAGUAAUUUCCUGCAUAUACAGUAAGUCCCUGGGGUAUCACUGCACCUCAGCAACGUAGACAACAAAGCAUUGCUACACCUUCUCUCCUUCAUUGCUGAGUGGCUGAUGUCUAGAGAGGCCCUCCAUGUUACGUCUGGAACCCAUGCAAAUGCUCUAGCCUUGAAUGACCUGUACCAGUGCCUUUCCCCUUCUCAACAACAGCCACUCCUGCCUCAUCAUAGACAAUGGGAUGUCCUAAAAUGAGUAAAGCAUGCCUUAAAGUAUAAAUGGCUCUACAAACAAUGUACGUACCCUAUAUCAAAUUACAUCAAAUUGUAUUGGUCGUGAACACAUUUUCAGAUACAAUCGCAGGUGCAGUGAAAUGCUUAUGUUUCUAGCUCCAACAGUGCAAUAGUUAAAACUAUAGGUUUUGCAAUAACAACUGGCACCCUGUUGACUGCCUAAAAAGGGCCACAAAAUGGCCUCACAAAACCAAAACAGGCCUUUGUUUUGGUUUAAAAGGGUACGAUGUGCCUUUAAAAGCAGUAGACAGUCAGGUGACUUGGUAAGCAGAAGCAAACUCAGCUCUGAAACAGAAAACAGAGCAACUGCGAACAGUAGAGAGGGGUGCGCGAGGGACCCAGUUCACGAUGACAAUGUUAAAGCUGUGAGGAAAGAGAAGAGCAAAAACAGGGAGAGGGAAGAGAGAGGAGGAGCUCGUGGUGGCUCUUAAACUAAAUGAGGACGUAGUGGUGAGUCUGCCAGCCUGAGUAGUUCAAAUAGCUGCAUUUGUAUUUAGGUAUACAGUGGGAAUGCUUGGAGAAAGAACAACUGCAUCACCCCAUUGGAGAGACUGUGCUUCUGUUUGUGAGUGAGGCUAACUGUCAGACGAAACUCGUAUUGUUGACGUGAGAAAAUAAAACAACCGUAGCAGUCAGUGUAGUGAGAAUAUGGCCAGAAGGGUGAGAGACAGGAAAUUGUGACAGGGAGACAGAGGAGGAGAUUUUGGAAUUAGUUGCUACGUCAGUUUUUCCACAUCCGCAGGGCAACAGCAUGUUGAGGCCAGGGUCAUUUUAUUUUCGAUCAGGCAGAACUUUAAAGCCUUGGUUUACCUUGAGGGUUUAUCUUGCCGUGCAUUUUGUUAUGUUUGUAUUUAUUAACUGUGCUCUACAGCAUUGUCAUUUGAGAUUCUGUAUUCAUCCAAGGAAAAGUGUGGAUAAGCUGCAGGAUGCUGAUUGUGUGGCGCACAUUACCCGGGUUGCAGCCAGAUUUUCAGAUGUACUUCUUUGGAAUGAAUAUCCUUGCAGUGAGAGAUAUGUUUUCUUCUCAUUCCAGAUAAUUUCUCCUCUGAACGACUCUCACAGCUGCAGUGAACCUUGAUGGGUCAAAAAAGUGCAUGCAUGUCAGGUGUGGACAGAGGGAGGGUCAGGGGAGGAUACAUGUACAAGGCACAUGUUGAUUUUCAGGAAAUCCGUAGGAGUCCAUGAAGAGAUGGGUAGAGGACUUUUUUUUUUUUACCCUGGCCUGGGUUCGUCCACGGUGCCAUCCAGUUGCACCCGCCCACCCUACCCACUUUUCCUGCAGUGAGCUCUGGGGUGAGUGGCGUACUUCUCCUGCCAGGAAAUUAGUUGCUGUGUGGCUCUUGAAGGCCCAUGCCUUGAUGCAGUGAUCUCUACUUCUCUCCUCCUCAGUGUGCCAGCAGAGGGACAAGCUGGAUCUGUUCCUUUUUCUUCCCUCAUCUCUCUCACUUUCUCCCUGCCUCUCUUGCUCUCUCCAAUCCCAUGUCAGUCAGGGGAGGGAUCCGAGUUGUGCUUCCUGGAAGAGCUUCUCUCUUAAAGCGGCACAACAGAGUCCUGUAUAUCAUGGUUCCAUAUGAGAGGAGUCGUUAAACUUGCUCGCUUGGUGACUCAACAUAAGCAGCAGUCGUAAUCGGAUGGGAUACUUUCUCAUGCAGCAACUGGACCACAGGCUAAGUGGAUGCAUUUCCCCCCUAUUAGUCUAUGAGGAGGACACUGUGUCCUCUUAUUGGAUCACAACCAGGAAGUGGAAGAUGGCCACUAAUUGGCUUUAGAGGCAUUGUUUUUUGUUUUAUGGUAGAGAUCUUUUAAAAUGUAGCGUGAUUGAGGAAGACAGUUACUAUUUUAACCCAGAUAUUGUGUUCCUAGUUCUGACUACAGUUAGAUACUUUUAUCCUCUUUCUCUCUCCAAUUCUGCAUAACCAACACAGUAACUCAUUCCUUGAAACACACACUCACUUAAACAUUGAAGAUGACACUCAUCUCUCUUUGUUGUCUCUGGCAGAGCUGAGACCCCAUGGUGGCCAGAAAGAUGGGAUGCAUCCCAGAAUGCUAUUAAGCAGAGAGAUGGGCCUGCAGUUCUCUACUUGACAACAUGCAUCUGUACAAGGUAUCGAUGAUGAUGGUACAUGUGCACCUUGGCUUUGGUACCCAUCCUGCAAAGAUGUCUUAAAUCAAAAACUGUUGAUACCGUGCAUUCGGAAAGUAUUCAGGUCUUUAUGAUAGAGUGGCCAGAUGGAAGCCACUCCUCAGUAGAAUGCUCAGCCUACUUGGAGUGUGUGGGCUGUCAUGUGCCUUUUUAUAGACUCUCAGACCAUGAGAAACAAUGUUCUCUGGUCUGAUGAAACCAAGAUUGAACUCUUUGGCCUGAAUGCCAAACGUCAUGUCUGGAGAAAACCUGGCACCAUCCCUACGGUGAAGCAUGGUGGUGGUGGCAGCAUCAUGCUGUGGGGAUGUUUUUCAAUGGCAGGGACUGGCUAAUCAGGAUCAGGAUCGACAGAAAGAUGAACGGAGCGAAGUACAGAGAGAUCCUUGAUGAAAACCUGCUCCAGAGCACUCAGGACCUCGGAAGGUGAACCUUCACCCCAGUCUAACUGGACAAAGACCCUAAGCACACAGACAAUGCAGGAGUGGCUUCGGGGCGAGUCUCUGAAUUUCCUUGAGUGGCUCAGCCAGAGUCCGUACUUGAAUCCGAUCUGACAUCUCUGGAGAGACCUGAAAAUAGCUGUGCAGCGACGCUCCCCCUCCAACCUGACAGAGCUUGAGCUGAUCUGCAGAGAAGAAUGGGAGAAACUCCCCAAAUAAGAGAGGCUGUAAUCGCUGUCAAAGGUGCUUCAACAAAUUACUGAGUGAAGGGUGUAAAUGUGAUAUUUCUGUUUAUCUGUAAUACAUUUGAAAACAUUUCUAAAAA